rnacentral:lncRNA from 1 species
GUGACCUGGAGGACACGUGUGUCCCCACCGUCAAGCCAACGCCACCAGACCACGAGGGCACCUACAAAUGGACCCAGGCGCGCUUCUGGGUGGGCGUGGGAGGCGCCUGAUGUCUCUGCUCUGUUUUACAGUUACUCGCCUGCAGGUGCCUCCUGCCCCCGCGCGGUUCCCGCCUGCGCUCGGCUCACUCUUAGCCGGCACGAACUCGCGGUCAGCACCCGCUCGUAGGAGGGCGCGCGGGCGAGGAGAGGUGAGUGGCCGGAACCAGGGUGUGGGAGGAGCAGCUGGCUGCCUGCACCGCCGUUCUGCCUUGCGGUGUCUCCAACAGCCGGCCUGCGAGUUGGGACGUUGGGAGAUCCCAGGAUCCUGUUGGCAGAGCGACUGUGUUUUCACCUGGAUCGACUCUCCUCCUCCCUAGGCCCAGAAGAUCCAAGGUCUUCCCCCAAGGCAACCUGUGAAAAGGCUUUUAAUAACACACCUGCUGGCUUUUGAGCACGGCGCACAGCACACAGUAGGCACCAAGUGCAUUCUGAUGUUUCUGGCCUCGGAGGCGGCUUCUCCGACUUCUCCGGCUUCUCAGUCGCCAGAGCCUCGGCUGGGAACAGUGCGGCUGCCUACGCCCGGCUGCCCCGGGGUCGGCUGGCCUCUGAGUGACUAGGGGCCAGGACCUACGCCUUUCGCACUCUCGGGGCCGCAGAAAAGAGGGUGUCAGGCACCAACUCGGAAGCCGCACCCGCUGUGGCCAGAGCCUAAGUAAAGAAUCCGUUCUAAGCAUUCACACCUCGAUCACCCGAGAGAACUCCUUGGGGCUGCGGCCUUUGGAAGCAGAAGCACCC